UCCUGUCACCCUGGUUGCAUCACUAGGCAAACAUCCUUUGUGUCAUCUUGAGCAGAAAAAUGGAAAAAAAAACCCAAAAUCAUAAGUUACUGGAGAGAAAAUAAAAGAAAAGCCUUCCUCUCAACUCAAUCUGUUUCUUUUAAUUAAAAAUUAUUUUAAUGUAAGCAGAAGAAAGCAGACAUUUUCUCCCCGCUAUUGUUCUAGCUCCUCUAAUCCAUAAUAUUUGUAAUAUCUCAUUAAUUUAUGACUCAUAUUUUUUUUCUCCUUUCUUGCAGUCUUGUCAAUUGCAGUCACAUCUAUAGAAGCAAAGAAUAUUCUCAUAUAAUGGAAAGGAACACCUUUUUCAUCUUAAUUAAGCAAAGGAGUAGGGAAAGAAUGGGAAAUUGCCAUCUACUGCACAUACCAGUGAGGAGCCAAUCGUGCUCUUGAAAGCAUUCAAGGCAAGGAACACGAGGAAGAUUAGCCUGCAGUGGAACAAAGAGAUCUCACCACCCUUUUUCAUACUGAAUCGGCCCAUUCUAGAGAAGAGAAGUCAGUGUCAGACUCUGGCCUUCAUCUCAAAGUGAUGUCAAAAAGGACAAGGAAAACAGAUGGCAAUUCAUCCUCUGUGUAAAUGGACAAUUGGGAGCUCAGCAGCAGAAGGAUGCAACUGAUAAAAGAUUUGCGUGAUCAGUGCUAUUUUUUUCUGCUAUUCAGAAUUGUUUUUUAGAGACUUGGGCAGUUGCUUAGGCCUAAAGUAAACUACAAUUUCUUCUCCUUGAGGGUGGAAGCUGCCAAACCGGAAAAAGAGAAAAGGUAACAGAAUUGUGCUUUGUGGUCAGGUUACUUUUUAUGAGUCCCUAUUGUUUAUUCUGCAGUGUAGACCCAAUAUCAAUUACUAUAAUCACAGUGGAGACUGUGUGAAUCCAUCAAAGUGAAAGUCUAUAAACAUAAUAAAGGGAUGUCACAUUGUCCUCAGUAUCAAUUUAUCUAUUUUUUUUUCUUCGCUUUUACUGUCUCAUAUGUGACAGCAGUGACAAAAAAAACAUCUGUGGCAAUGUGUUGUCCAAAUCCCAAUUAUUCUUACAGCAUAUUUAUGUUUUUAGGAAGUCGAUGGUGUCAUCAGAGGAAUGACUGACUGAAAAACAAGGCAAUUUGUUAGGGUGGCAUAAAAGGACUUAUAUUUUUAUCUAACUUUUGUGUUCUUACAUCUGAUUAAUGAAUAAAGAAGCAUUAAACAGGCUUAAAAAUAUUAUAUUUACCCAAAGACUUGCUGCAUGUUGCUUUAUGUCUAUUGCGUGCAUGCUUGAAUAAACUCAUCAGCAUAAAAUUUUGCAUUCUUAGUUUAACCCUCCCAAACAACUGUAAUACAUAUACUCUCAGCUUCUUUCUCUUGAUUUACAUCCACUGAAACCCCUCUGGACUUCAUUGGAUUUGAGAUUAGACGCAGAAAGGGUGGCUGUA